rnacentral:rRNA from 1 species
AAUGAACGCUGGCGGCGUGCCUAACACAUGCAAGUCGGAUGUGCCGCAAGGUGCAUGGCAGACGGGUGAGUAACGCGUGGGGAACCUACCUCUUCGUGGGGAAUAACGAUCCGAAAGGAUUGGUAAUACCGCAUGAGACCGACGGCUGGGAUGCUGUCGGUGAAAGCUGGGGACCGGAAACGGCCUGGCGCGAGGAGAGGGUCCUGCGUCUGAUUAGCUAGUUGGUGGGGUAACGGCCUACCAAGGCAUCGAUCAGUAGCCGGCCUGAGAGGGUGAUCGGCCACACUGGAACUGAGACACGGUCCAGACUCCUACGGGAGGCAGCAGUGGGGAAUUUUGCGCAAUGGACGAAAGUCUGACGCAGCAACGCCGCGUGGGUGAUGAAGGUCUUCGGAUUGUAAAACCCUGUCGUCGGGGACGAAGGUAGGAGGGUUAAUAGCCCUUUUGCUUGACGGUACCCGGAGAGGAAGCCCCGGCUAACUCUGUGCCAGCAGCCGCGGUAAU